rnacentral:rRNA from 1 species
UACAGAGGGGGCUAGCGUUGUUCGGAAUUACUGGGCGUAAAGCGCGCGUAGGCGGACCUGCAAGUCGGGGGUGAAAGCCCGAGGCUCAACCUCGGAACUGCCUUCGAUACUGCGGGUCUCGAGUCCGGGAGAGGUGAGUGGAAUUCCUAGUGUAGAGGUGAAAUUCGUAGAUAUUAGGAAGAACACCAGUGGCGAAGGCGGCUCACUGGCCCGGUACUGACGCUGAGGCGCGAAAGGCGUGGGGAGCAAACAGG